UCCGCCCCUUCCACUCGUCUCCGUUCUCAUGCUGUGCUGUGUGCAGGCCUGCCAUCAGGGGGGAACAAGGAAGAACGGAAGUACAGGAACUGAUGUGGCACCAAGUGACAGCUGAGAAAUGGAGACUACUCGCAGCUACAGAUGAAGCUAUGAAAGGAGCACAGGUUGGAUUUGCCUGAAAUCACAUCAAGUUCCUGAGACCUGUAUGAAAUUUUACGAGAUGUCGACAAAAAAAAAGAAAACUGCAAAAAUCAGUCCCUGAAGGCCUACAGGAAAAACAAAAGAAGGCAGCAGGGGUCAGUCUCAUGCAGAGCUACUGGGAGAAGUGUAACUCACGCUGACCUCAUUCUCAGCUCAUGGACCAAUUAGCUGCAAUUCUGCCUAUUAGUUGUGGAAAAUGCAGAACAAUUAUGAAGAAAACACAACAGAUUGUGCACAGCAUACUCAGCAGACACGGAGCUGCCAAUCAUCUUCAUACCCCCUAUGUUCCAAGCAUUCAGUACAGCAAUGUUAUGAUCACAGAUGUCUUCCAAAUUUAGGAGUGUUUGGUUAAUUUUUUUUUCAAAUUGACAAAAAUUCUAUUAAAAACAAGCUCCAUACA